rnacentral:rRNA from 1 species
CUCGUAGGCGGUUCGUCGCGUCCGGUGUGAAAGUCCAUCGCUUAACGGUGGAUCUGCGCCGGGUACGGGCGGGCCGGAGUGCGGUAGGGGAGACUGGAAUUCCCGGUGUAACGGUGGAAUGUGUAGAUAUCGGGAAGAACACCAAUGGCGAAGGCAGGUCUCUGGGCCGUUACUGACGCUGAGGAGCGAAAGCGUGGGGAGCGAACA